rnacentral:rRNA from 1 species
GCAGCUACACAUGCAGUCGAGCGGUAGAGAGGUGCUUGCACCUCUUGAGAGCGGCGGACGGGUGAGUAAAGCCUAGGAAUCUGCCUGGUAGUGGGGGAUAACGCUCGGAAACGGACGCUAAUACCGCAUACGUCCUACGGGAGAAAGCAGGGGACCUUCGGGCCUUGCGCUAUCAGAUGAGCCUAGGUCGGAUUAGCUAGUUGGUGAGGUAAUGGCUCACCAAGGCGACGAUCCGUAACUGGUCUGAGAGGAUGAUCAGUCACACUGGAACUGAGACACGGUCCAGACUCCUACGGGAGGCAGCAGUGGGGAAUAUUGGACAAUGGGCGAAAGCCUGAUCCAGCCAUGCCGCGUGUGUGAAGAAGGUCUUCGGAUUGUAAAGCACUUUAAGUUGGGAGGAAGGGCAUUAACCUAAUACGUUAGUGUUUUGACGUUACCGACAGAAUAAGCACCGGCUAACUCUGUGCCAGCAGCCGCGGUAAUACAGAGGGUGCAAGCGUUAAUCGGAAUUACUGGGCGUAAAGCGCGCGUAGGUGGUUCGUUAAGUUGGAUGUGAAAUCCCCGGGCUCAACCUGGGAACUGCAUUCAAAACUGUCGAGCUAGAGUAUGGU